rnacentral:lncRNA from 10 species
AGUUUGCCUUCACAUGGGAAGGGUGACAAUGAACUUUCACAAUGCUGCCGCAGGGCUACAUGCAUAGCCCCACCAUAUGUCAUGGUCUUGCUGCCACAGAUUUAGCUGCUUGGAAAUGUCCAAAGGAGGUCCACCUAUUCCAUUAUAUUGAUGACAUUAUGUUAACCUCUAAUUCUCUUGCAGAUUUAGAGGUGACUGCACCCCUCUUACGACAACAUUUGGCAACAUGUGAUGGGCUGUCAAUGAAUCCAAGGUCCAAAGGCCUGGAUUGUCUGCCAAAUUCUUGGGAGUUAACUGGUCAGGUAAGACUGAGGCAGGAAAAUAGGGUCUGAAAGCAGGGAACGUAAGGACAAUUCAUGCUUCAGCUCUGACAGGAAAUAUCCUCUCCUUAGGGCUAACAAUCUAAAUAACUUUGUAACUGUAUUGAUACUCUCCAUUUACAUAGGGUGUACCCCAAGUAACCAGUGAAAUCCUCUAGGGGGUAUUCAAACUCCCAAAAAUUCUGUAACAGGGUCUUUGAUCCCCUAUGCUCAGGCCCACUCCCACACUGUGGAGUGUACUUUCAUUUUCAAUAAAACCCUUCAUUCUUUCCUUGCUGUGUUUGCUUGUGCAUUUUGUCCAAUUCUUUGUUCAAGAUGCCAAGAACCUGGACAUCCUACACUGCUAACAUAUUUUGGUGAGCUAGCCAGGAGAAAGAGCAACGUGUUUGUAUACAGUCAAGCAGGGUUGCCAGGGCCACUCAAGGAGAGAGAACCCAGAAACCUGGCAUGCCUGCAAAAGGUGUGUUUUCACCAGGUAAAGAAACUUUUUUAUGCUUUAAAUCUUCUGGAAACAUGAGAGAAAGACUGCCUUUGUCAUCCACACUACAAUAAAACUUCAAAAACCUUGGGCUUUGGAUUCAUGGUCUCACAAAUGAGAAGUAUCCCUCCACACUUUUGGAACUGUGCACCCAUUGGAAACCUUGAGAUAAAGCUAACCAGGGAAAUUUCUCCCAAGAAGAAAAUGGCACCUUUGAUGUGAAUAACUUUUCCUAAGUUCACAGAUGAUUAAAACUUUUACUAUCAAA